UGGGGAAUUUUCCGCAAUGGGCGCAAGCCUGGCGGAGCAAUACCGCGUGAGGGAGGAAGGCUUUUGGGUUGUAAACCUCUUUUCUCAAGGAAGAAGCACUGACGGUACUUGAGGAAUCAGCAUCGGCUAACUCCGUGCCAGCAGCCGCGGUAAUACGGAGGAUGCAAGCGUUAUUCGGAAUUAUUGGGCGUAAAGCGUCCGCAGGUGGUGCCUCAAGUCUGCUGUCAAAGACUGCAGCUCAACUGUGGGCGAGCAACUGAAACUGAUGAACUAGAGUGCGGUAGGGGUAGGGGGAAUUCCCAGUGUAGCGGUGAAAUGCGUAGAUAUUGGGAAGAACACCAGUGGCGAAGGCGCUCUACUGGGCCGCAACUGACGCUGAGGGACGAAAGCUAGGGGAGCGAAAGGGAUUAGAUACCCGCGUAGUCC
rnacentral:rRNA from 1 species